rnacentral:precursor_RNA from 1 species
UAGACUCCCAAUUCUUUCUUGUCCCUUCAGCCAGUCCUGUGCCUGCCGCCUUUGUGCUGUCCUUGGAGGGAGGCAGAAGCAGGAUGACAAUGAGGGCAAGUUCAGGGACACUGUGGGAGA